UACGUAGGUGGCAAGCGUUAUCCGGAAUUACUGGGCGUAAAGCGCACGCAGGCGGUCCUUUAAGUUUGACGUGAAAGCUCCCGGCUUAACUGGGAGAGGUCGUUGAAGACUGGAAGACUUGAGGCAAUGAGAGGGGUGUAGAAUUCCCGGUGUAGUGGUGGAAUGCGUAGAUAUCGGGGGGAAUACCAGUGGCGAAAGCGGCACCCUAGCGUUAGCCUGACGCUCAUGUGCGAAAGCGUGGGGAGCGAACGGG
rnacentral:rRNA from 1 species